rnacentral:sRNA from 1 species
GGGACAGGCCUUUCAGGCAUCCUCUCCUAAGACUUACGGGCUGGCCUUCGCGCCGGCCCUUUUUUUGUGCUCAG